UGCAGGUUGGAUCAAGCUCCAGUCGUUUUCCGUCCUUACGCCAAUCGGCAGCGAAAUUCUUCAUUUUUCGAAGUGAAAAUUUAUUAAAUCAAAAUAAUAAUUUGUAGGUGUCAAUGACAAAAUCGAAGAGAAAAUUCGCGAUCACCGACAAAUUUCUACCAAGGCUCGCAAAGAACCUGUGCACCAGAAAAGGUAGUCGUCGGGCGAACACCGGCAACCGUCUGGAACACGCAGUACUUACCCAUAUCCAGCACGUGCCGUAGAUUCUCUGCCUUCCAAACCCUUCUCAUCAUCGACCAUCUCCUUCUAACCGGCGUCAGCUAACUACGUGUGAAAGAGAUAGAUGCUUGCAGUCAUGGCCCGCGGAGACGAGUGCAAAACUGCCAGCAAGGCCAACUACGCGUGCAAGUCGUUCGACGUGUCUGCUCCUAUGAAGAAGCCUACAUCGAUUCCAGCAUCGUAUCAAGCCCCGAAGAAACAGGAGCAAAAGAAAGACUACGGAGCCUGGGGUCCUAUUUACAAGGACAAGAAAACUUUCACCGAGAUGCACUUCUGCUGAACGAACCACCGAGCCGGUCCAUCAUCAUUGCUUAUCAUCGUCACGUCACAGAUCACCGAAAAUGUCAUCAGUUUUUAUAUAUAAAGUCCCUUAAAGUAACAAAGAUUGUCAUAUUGAUAAAUCAAUUAAACAUAGUCAGAAAAUGUCUUGUAUCUGAUUUAUCGCCUCCGGGACUUCAUGUAUCGAAAUUAUUGUAAGCUACGACCAAAAAUAUUGUAUUAUACUGACAAAUAAAAAUGUCGUCAAAAUUGCCAAUGUGUUUGUGACGGACAGCUUUGUUUCUUAGGUGUAGGGUAUCUUUUGUCGCGCACUAACUUUACCAUGUAUUCACAUUAACCAAUAUUAAAUUUCAUCAUCAUUCGCAUAAAAGGUUUUUUGUUGCGUGUCCUGAGAAAUGUUUUUGUCUUCCAAAUUUUAUUUAAAUAACUGGAUGACCAAGACGGUUCCCUCGUACCAAAUAUUGUUUUGCGAAAAAAGAUCGGCCAUUUUGUUUUCUGUUUGCGACACUUCAUUUUAUGUUCUGUUUUAUUUGACCUAUUUGUAUUCUCGAGCUUGUUUAUUACUAAACAUAAAUAUACCAAA